GACGAACGCUGGCGGCGUGCUUAACACAUGCAAGUCGAACGGAAAGGCCCUGCGGGGUACGCGAGUGGGGAACGGGAGCGUAAGAGGUGGACGAGAGGAACUGCACUUUGGGAUAAGGAUGGGAUACUGGGACUGAUGCCGAAUAGGAACACGAGCUUCAGGGUGUGGGGGGGGAAGGGUUAGUGGUGGCGGAUGGGGAUGGGGCCGAGGAGUAUCAGCUUGUUGGUGGGGUAGUGGCGUACCAAGGCGAGGACGGGUAGCCGGCCUGAGAGGGUGACCGGCCACACUGGGACUGAGAUACGGCCCAGACUCCUACGGGAGGCAGCAGUGGGGAAUAUUGCACAAUGGGCGCAAGCCUGAUGCAGCGACGCCGCGUGCGGGAUGACGGCCUUCGGGUUGUAAACCUCUUUCAAUAGGGACGAAGCGCGAGUGACGGUACCUAUAGAAGAAGCACCGGCCAACUACGUG
rnacentral:rRNA from 1 species